GAGACAGGUAUCAGUGCUCAGUCCACGGCAGCUCUUCUCAGCGCUUCCUUCUUCCUCUUUCUGUAACGGAUGAGAGUUUUUCUUCUCUGUCUGACGGUAGUUUGACUUUGGACCCAUCAGUCGAAAGAUCACUGGAGCUCCUCUUGCCAGAUCCAUCCAUGCAUUGUGCCCUUCAUUCCACCGGAGUCUGUCGGGACGGAUCAGAUUUCAGUGGAAUGAAGAACACGACACAUGGCGAAAAGCAUCUGGGAACCGUCCUGAAAUAGCGUGUCUGUGGACAAGACCACGUUCUGACCGAUGCUGUUGCCCUGUAGUCUCAGCUGAUGUUAUUCAACAGUGUUAUGAUGUUCAGAAACCGUCAUUGUGAAAAUGCAAAAUCUGGAUUACAAAUAAAAUGAUUUGGAAACAA